UACAGAGGUCUCAAGCGUUGUUCGGAUUCAUUGGGCGUAAAGGGUGCGUAGGUGGCGUCGUAAGUCGGGUGUGAAAUUUCGGAGCUUAACUCCGAAACUGCAUUCGAUACUGCGGUGCUUGAGGACUGGAGAGGAGACUGGAAUUUACGGUGUAGCGGUGAAAUGCGCAGAUAUCAGGAGGAACACCGGUGGCGAAGGCGGGUCUCUAGACAGUUCCUGACGCUGAGGCACGAAGGUCAGGGGAGCAAACGGG
rnacentral:rRNA from 1 species